CCUACGGGAGGCAGCAGUGAGGAAUAUUGGUCAAUGGGCGCGAGCCUGAACCAGCCAAGUAGCGUGAAGGAUGACUGCCCUACGGGUUGUAAACUUCUUUUAUAAAGGAAUAAAGUGAGGCACGCGUGCCUCUUUGUAUGUACCCUAUGAAUAAGGAUCGGCUAACUCCGUGCCAGCAGCCGCGGUAAUACGGAGGAUCCGAGCGUUAUCCGGAUUUAUUGGGUUUAAAGGGAGCGUAGAUGGGUUGUUAAGUCAGUUGUGAAAGUUUGCGGCUCAACCGUAAAAUUGCAAUUGAUACUGGCAGUCUUGAGUACAGUAGAGGUAGGCGGAAUGCGUGGUGUAGCGGUGAAAUGCUUAGAUAUCACGAAGAACUCCGAUUGCGAAGGCAGCUUACUAAACUGCCACUGACAUUGAUGCUCGAAAGUGUGGGUAUCAAACAGGAUUAGAUACCCCGGUAGUC
rnacentral:rRNA from 1 species